GGAGGGGUGGCAGAGUGGUUGAUCGCGCCGGUCUUGAAAACCGGAAGGCCGCAAGGCCUCGUGAGUUCGAAUCUCACCCCCUCCGCCA
rnacentral:tRNA from 1 species